UACGGGGGGGGCAAGCGUUGUUCGGAAUUACUGGGCGUAAAGGGCGCGUAGGCGGCCUGCUAAGUCGGAUGUGAAAUCCCUCGGCUCAACCGGGGAACUGCAUCCGAUACUGGUGGGCUUGAAUCCGGGAGAGGGAUGUGGAAUUCCAGGUGUAGCGGUGAAAUGCGUAGAUAUCUGGAGGAACACCGGUGGCGAAGGCGGCAUCCUGGACCGGUAUUGACGCUGAGGCGCGAAAGCUAGGGGAGCGAACAGG
rnacentral:rRNA from 1 species